GACGAACGCUGGCGGCGUGCUUAACACAUGCAAGUCGAACGGAAAGGCCCUGCUUUUGUGGGGUUCUCGAGUGGCGAACGGGUGAGUAACACGUGAGUAACCUGCCCUUGACUUUGGGAUAACUUCAGGAAACUGGGGCUAAUACCGGAUAGGAGCUCCUGCUGCAUGGUGGGGGUUGGAAAGUUUCGGCGGUUGGGGAUGGACUCGCGGCUUAUCAGCUUGUUGGUGGGGUAGUGGCUUACCAAGGCUUUGACGGGUAGCCGGCCUGGGAGGGUGACCGGCGACAUGGGGACUGAGAUACGGACCAGACGCCUACGGGAGGCAGCAGUGGGGAAUAUUGCACAAUGGGCGGAAGCCUGAUGCAGCAACGCCGCGUGCGGGAUGAAGGCCUUCGGGUUGUAAACCGCUUUCGCCUGUGACGAAGCGUGAGUGACGGUAAUGGGUAAAGAAGCACCGGCUAACUACGUG
rnacentral:rRNA from 1 species